GAAGCAGCCUUGAUGGGAUCUCCUUCCCACAUGCUUCUGUCUGGGUAUUCGACGACAUCGCUUUCCAUCAUGCAAAAGCGGCCAAGGAGUACGCAGUUGAGCAUGGCGUUGAGCUGCGCCUCGCGCCAGCCUAUGCACUCUGAUUCAGUCCAGUUGAAGACGACGUUUCUGUUUUCCAGUGCCAUUUUAGUGCUCAAGGGUACGUAAGCGGGUCGUUCGCAUUCGUCACACUGGCCUGCGAAAAAUCUCUCGAAAACUUAAUCAUCACUUGACUGCUGUUUUCUAGUUUCUCUGCUCGUGCGCUCUAGGGAGCGCAAAGACGGUCUUCGGCCCGUGUGCGUUCUCGCGACGGAGGAGGCGACGAAAAGGUACUCCAGAGACAAUAAACGUACGGAUCGAAAAGCUGGGUUCCAGCCCCGCCGUGCAACCAGGGCUUCUGAACACCACGGGGAAACAAACGGAUAUAGAGUAUGGAGGCCACACGGAUGCCACUCUGCCAAGUGCAAGGAUACGAAGAAGAAAGAGCUGGCCACAGCGACCAAGGAUGAAACAUGCGAAUAUCAUCAUGCUGAGAACCAGCGGAUCUCGUUCAAGAUCUUGUCGUUUACAGAGAGGAUGUGGAAAUAUUUGUGACUGGGAGGAGGGCGGAGAUCCACAGCAUAUCCAUCUUCAGAUCAUUUGUGAAACCUGGGCCUGAGUCGCGCCACGAGACAAAUUCUCAACAGGUCCAUGUAGAUGAGGGGAAUCAACAUCAGAGUGGGCGUUGAUCUCGGGUUGAUGAACAUUAUGGCCGUCAGCGUAAUUCCCAUUCAAGACGACGAAUCCAAAGAGCUGAAUGAAGAGCGAAUGAGGCUGCUCGAAUCUGGCAGGGCUUGCAACGCCCGAGGCUCGGCCUGAAUGGGCGCCCGAGGGCAUACCAACAAGUGGAGUGACGGCGUCCGGACACAUCUCCACGCUCUCAGCACCGUAGCAAGCUGGGCGAUGCAGUGUAUACUCCAUUCAGAGCGCACAUUAGCGUCCAAAGGACUCAAACGGAUGAUCUCUGGCGGGCGUUUUUCAUGGGCUUGUGCCGGGGUCGUCAACGGUAUCCGCUGCAGGGAGGCAAGCGCCGUGCUUUCGCCAUUUUUUCAAUGCGUUGGAAAAGAAAGUGACCGAAACGGGAGGUCGUUUGGUGCUGGCGUCUGACACUGGACGUGCUGUAGCGCGAAAAGGCUGCAGUCCUGUUCCAUCAAAACCAGCGUACAAGGAAGGCAGGAAUCGAUUCUCUGUACGAUACAUAUCGAUGCUUCCAGGACGACGUAGAUGCAUCAAAAGUACGGGUACACGCUCAAAACUAGUGGAAGAGAAGAGAAUGAAACGGAGUCUAACGCACGAGGCGGUGAACACCAAGCUGACCAGACGUGAAAUCGCGAGAUAAUCGGAGCUGAGAGGCUUUUCAUGGUGUGAAACGCCCGGCAACCGGGCGGACCAGCGCAUUCUGCACCGAGACUGGAACACAUCGAUAAACAUUCGGAAAUGUAUCGUGAUUCCGGAGCGUCUGUCGGAUUUAUGUCGAGCGAACUUUUUCUUAGCAAAUCGUUUAGAACCCAGUGGGGGUAUUGUGCUGAAACGCUAAAGACUGUCGAUGAGAAGGAUUAUUGCCCAGGACAGACAGACAGACAGACAGACAGACAGACAAAGAUUCUCGCCUGGAGCACCGCACUGGCAUGAGAUGAACAGACAUCCAGCGAGGCGGGAGCGCCCUCUGUACACACCGGGAUCGGUUAUCCGUUGCAGCUGGCGAACAGCGAGGAUGCUCCGUGAUGCGGCAGUACAGCGUGUAACUGAGGCAUGUUGCUCAUUCCUGUGCGAAAACGCUUGCUCUUCGGUGUGUAGAACAACCAGUGGUACUCGAUUGCUUUUACAUCCAGAACGUCCACACUGUUCUUCUCGCUCUUCGACGUGUAAACGCAAUGGGGACACUAUAAGAAAGUCAGUGUCCACAAUGACUUUCCGCUCGGAAAGCGCAUGAUUUUCUUCGCGUUUCCUUUCGUAAAGAGCACCACACGACCGCUG